rnacentral:rRNA from 1 species
AUUGAACGCUGGCGGCAGGCCUAACACAUGCAAGUCGAGCGGAUGAAGGGAGCUUGCUCCUGGAUUCAGCGGCGGACGGGUGAGUAAUGCCUAGGAAUCUGCCUGGUAGUGGGGGAUAACGUCCGGAAACGGGCGCUAAUACCGCAUACGUCCUGCGGGAGAAAGUGGGGGAUCUUCGGACCUCACGCUAUCAGAUGAGCCUAGGUCGGAUUAGCUAGUUGGUGGGGUAAAGGCCUACCAAGGCGACGAUCCGUAACUGGUCUGAGAGGAUGAUCAGCCACACUGGAACUGAGACACGGUCCAGACUCCUACGGGAGGCAGCAGUGGGGAAUAUUGGACAAUGGGCGAAAGCCUGAUCCAGCCAUGCCGCGUGUGUGAAGAAGGUCUUCGGAUUGUAAAGCACUUUAAGUUGGGAGGAAGGGCAGUAAGUUAAUACCUUGCUGUUUUGACGUUACCAACAGAAUAAGCACCGGCUAACUUCGUG